UACGGAGGUGGCGAGCGUUACUCGGAUUCAUUGGGUGUAAAGGGCAGGUAGGUGUUUCGCCAAGUUAGAAGUGAAAUCCUUUGGCUCAACCAAAGAACUGCUUCUAAAACUGGCGGAAUUGAGGCUGAAAGAGGAGAGCGGAAUUCCCGGUGUAAGGGUGAAAUCUGUAGAUAUCGGGAGGAACACCAGUGGCGAAGGCGGCUCUCUGGUUCAGCCCUGACGCUGAGCUGCGAAAGCUAGAGUAGCAAACAGG
rnacentral:rRNA from 1 species